rfam:Streptomyces autolyticus strain CGMCC0516, complete genome.
CUUCAGCGACCCCAGCCGCAGCGGCGCGGCGCGGUCCUGGCCGUAGGUGGCCAGCAGCGCCUGCGCCUC